rnacentral:lncRNA from 1 species
ACCAUAAAAAGUACUUACUUGAAUGAAUUGGAUUGUAAUAGCUGAUUUUCCAACACCACCACCACCCACAACUACGAGUUUGUAGGUCUGUGCGUAACUUUGUUUAUCACUAGGUUUCGACAUUCUUUUUAUUUAUUUUUAACGACAGUUUUAAUUUAUCACAUGUAUGACAAUGAAAUGUCACUGAUGCGAAUCUUAGAUACGAGCAAGUAAGAGACCACAAGAGUUAAGUGAGAAAGGGAGAGGAUGAGAAUGAAAAUGAGAGAGAGAGAGAGAGAGAGAGAAAAUUGACAAAGAACAACUGAGAGGGGAUGUGUAUAAAAUUGAGCACCCCACAAAAGCGUCAUUUGACUACUGUGAAUCAAACACUACGUUUACUCUACAAUUUUUCUUCCUGAGAUUCUUUAAAGCAACUCGUUAAGAUUGUCUCUGGAGCUCAACCACUUUUUCUGGAUGAGUAUAUGAAUGAGUGGCAUCCCUUAAGAGAGGACUUUGCGGCUUUAAGGAUCUUACAGCAGGACUUUGUGGUUUGAAACAUCUUAAGGCUGGACUAUGAGGCUUAGCUCCAUUUAGGGCAGGUGGUGCUGUAUCGGCAGGUGUUGGUUGUGGCGUAGAAUGAGGCGACGGUAAAACCAUAUCCCUCCACCGGCGUACCAAGUCUUUAGCACGCUUGGCCAAGACAUCAUUACUGGUCUUUCUUCGCAGCUCAUUAAUGUAUUUACCAAGCCUUGUAACCUGUAACAUUUAAAAUUAAUUAAUAUUUUGCAAAUAAAUUCUAUUUAUCUUUU